rnacentral:rRNA from 1 species
GGCUCAUUAAAUCAGUUAUAAUUUAUUUGAUAGUGCCGUGACUACAUGGAUAGCCGUAGUAAUUCUGGAGCUAAUACAUGCGAAAAAUCCUGACUGGCAACGGAAGGGAUGCAUUUAUUAGAACAAGACCAACCCCGAAAGGGAGAAGGUGAAACAUGAUAAAAGGGCGAAUCGCAUGCCGCAAGGUGGCGGUGAAUCAUGCAAAUUUCUGCCCUAUCAACUAGAUGGUAGUAUAGGGGACUACCAUGGUGGUAACGGGUAACGGAGAAUUAGGGUUCGAUUCCGGAGAGGGAGCCUGAGAGAUGGCUACCACAUCUAAGGAAGGCAGCAGGCGCGCAAAUUACCCAAUCCUGAUACAGGGAGGUAGUGACAAUAAAUAACGGGGAAGGGCCAAAUGGUUUCUUCAGCUGGAAUGAGUACAAUUUAAAUCCAUUAAUGAGCAGCCAUU